CUACGAGGCGCCUAGUUUCGGCCUGUUGAGCUACGUUUCUACAUGGGAGUAUCGAGCUACGUUUCUACGUGGCGCCGAGUGUCGAGCUACGUUUCUACGUGGCGCCGAGUGUCGAGCUACGUAUGUACAAGGAGGUUUUUUUGCUGAUGUCGACUUCAACGAAGCUAUCGAAAGAAGUUUGGUAUAGUAUACCAGUGUACCCGGUCUUAGGAAGGAAGUGCGUACUCCCUUUUGGUCAGCAUACUCGAAUAUCCUGUCCAAGUACCAGUAGUAAAUGGGGAAACUUGGCAAAAGAUUUGAGAUAUUCGAGAUCUCGUGAUAUUGUUCCCCA